rnacentral:rRNA from 1 species
GAUGAACGCUGGCGGCGUGCCUAAUACAUGCAAGUCGAGCGAACAGACGAGGAGCUUGCUCCUCUGACGUUAGCGGCGGACGGGUGAGUAACACGUGGAUAACCUACCUAUAAGACUGGGAUAACUUCGGGAAACCGGAGCUAAUACCGGAUAAUAUAUUGAACCGCAUGGUUCAAUAGUGAAAGACGGGUUUGCUGUCACUUAUAGAUGGAUCCGCGCCGCAUUAGCUAGUUGGUAAGGUAACGGCUUACCAAGGCAACGAUGCGUAGCCGACCGGAGAGAGUGAUCGGCCACACUGGAACUGAGACACGGUCCCGACUCCUACGGGAGGCAGCAGUAGGGAAUCUUCCGCAAUGGGCGAAAGCCUGACGGAGCAACGCCGCGUGAGUGAUGAAGGUCUUCGGAUCGUAAAACUCUGUUAUUAGGGAAGAACAAAUGUGUAAGUAACUAUGCACGUCUUGACGGUACCUAAUCAGAAAGCCACGGCUAACUACGUG